rnacentral:rRNA from 1 species
UAAAAAGCUCGUAGUCGGAGGUGUGUCUCGGACGGUCGGUUCGCCGCUUGUCGGUGCUCAACUGGCCGGUCCGGACGUCCUGCCGGUGGGGCCUCACGGCCCCGUCAUCCUUCUUUGGUCCUCUUCACCGAGUGCCUUGGUGGGCCGGCACGUUUACUUUGAACAAAUUAGAGUGCUCAAAGCAGGCCGUUGGUCGCCUGAAUACUGUGUGCAUGGAAUAAUGGAAUAGGACCUCGGUUCCAUUUUGUUGGUUUUCGGGACUCGAGGUAAUGAUUAAUAGGGACGGACGGGGGCAUUCGUAUUGCGACGUUAGAGGUGAAAUUCUUGGAUCGUCGCAAGACGAACCGAUGCGAAAGCAUUUGCCAAGAACGUUUUCGUUGAUCAAGAACGAAAGUUAGAGGUUCGAAGGCGAUCAGAUACCGCCCUAGUUCUAACCAUAAACGAUGCCAGCUAGCCAUCCGCCGAAGUUCCUUCUAUGACUCGGCGGGCAGCUUCCGGGAAACCAAAGCUCUUGGGUUCCGGGG